rnacentral:rRNA from 1 species
AUGACCACACCAAGCUCGCACUUCCAUUCCACGCUGCUGCUGCCAGUACUCCUGCUCCAGAUAUCUGUUGUGGCUGAUCACAUGAUCCUGGGUGCCUCUGCCGAACAGCAACAGCCGCCGAUGAUCGCCCGUCGGGGUUGUCGCGACAAGUGCGGCAACAUCAGCAUCCCCUUCCCUUUCGGAAUCGGGCAUGGCUGCUUCCACGAGGGUUUCGAGGUACACUGCAAGGACUCCGCUCGUCCCCCUCGCGCCUUCCUAGCAAGUGCUUUCCUUGGAACCCACCAGUGGGAAGGCUCCACCACCGAGCUCCACCUCCAUGGCGACCCGCUCACUCUUAACAGGUCGUUGCCGUCGAUGCUGCCGCUCGAGCUCGUAAGCAUAUCAGUUGCAACGAGCGAGGCGCGGGCAUACGGCGGGGUCUCAUACCUGUGCACCACCGAUGAGACCAGAGGGUUGUUCAAGUUUUACACGAUGCCUCUCUACUUCACACCGUUUGGUGUGUCGGCGAUGCGUAAUGCUCUCGUCGGUGUCGGCUGGAGAGCCGAACCAUAUCUAGCCAUCCAUGAUUCAAAGAAUGCGGCCUACGACCACUUCUUCUGCCGUUCAGACAUCCUGGAGGUGGAUUUCCUUGGGCACGUGAGAAAUGGGUCGUGCACAGGGCAGGGCUGCUGUGAGACACCAUUUCCCCCGGCAUACAGAUCCGUCCAAUUUGCCCAAAUGAAGAUCUUGGUCGAAAACAACAGCAUGUGGAGUAUCAUGCCAUGCUCAUACGGCAUGUUGGUGGAGAAGUCAUGGUACAACUUCUCGACGCCAGACAUGUACGGCGACAGGGUGCUUGCCAAAAGAUUCCCCCGGGGCGUCCCCUUUGUGCUCGAUUUCGCAAUCGGGAAAGCUUCGUGUCCGGCGGAAGGCCAGCAGCCGCCUUCGGACUAUGCAUGUGUCAGCGGCAACAGCUCUUGCGCCAAUGCAACCAUUGGCUAUGUGUGCAGGUGCUGGAAGAAUUACGAGGGCAACCCUUACAUGAACAACGGAUGCCAAGACAUCGAUGAAUGCAAGCUUCCCGAGUUGUAUCCCUGCUCGAGUGACGGGAUCUGCAAAAACAUGCCAGGAGGCUACAAUUGUCCGUGCAGAUUUGGAAUGAAAGGCGACGGCAAAGCAGGAACGUGCACAAGCAUAUUCCCCCUAGCAGCAAGGGUGGCCGUUGGUAAGUAUACUAAGGUACCGCACCUAGUAAAUUACAGACAUCACUUUUUGUUCUGA